AGGUGGUGCAUGGUUGUCGUCAGCUCGUGUCGUGAGAUGUUGGGUUAAGUCCCGCAACGAGCGCAACCCUUAAGCUUAGUUGCCAUCAUUAAGUUGGGCACUCUAAGUUGACUGCCGGUGACAAACCGGAGGAAGGUGGGGAUGACGUCAAAUCAUCAUGCCCCUUAUGAUUUGGGCUACACACGUGCUACAAUGGACAAUACAAAGGGCAGCGAAACCGCGAGGUCAAGCAAAUCCCAUAAAGUUGUUCUCAGUUCGGAUUGUAGUCUGCAACUCGACUACAUGAAGCUGGAAUCGCUAGUAAUCGUAGAUCAGCAUGCUACGGUGAAUACGUUCCCGGGUCUUGUACACACCGCCCGUCACACCACGAGAGUUUGUAACACCCGAAGCCGGUGGAGUAACCUUUUAGGAGCUAGCCGUCGAAGGUGGGACAAAUGAUUGGGGUGAAGUCGUAACAAGGUAGCCGUAUCGGAAGGUGCGGCUGGAUCACCUCCUUUCUAAGGA
rnacentral:rRNA from 1 species